rnacentral:rRNA from 1 species
UACGAAGGGGGCUAGCGUUGCUCGGAAUCACUGGGCGUAAAGGGUGCGUAGGCGGGUCUUUUAAGUCAGGGGUGAAAUCCUGGAGCUCAACUCCAGAACUGCCUUUGAUACUGAAGAUCUUGAGUUCGGGAGAGGUGAGUGGAACUGCGAGUGUAGAGGUGAAAUUCGUAGAUAUUCGCAAGAACACCAGUGGCGAAGGCGGCUCACUGGCCCGAUACUGACGCUGAGGAGCGAAAGCGUGGGGAGCGAACAGG